CAUCUGACGGCAGCACCAUCGGACGGCAGCACCAUCUGACGGCAGCACCAUCGGAAGGCAGCACCAUCGGACGGCAGCACCAUCGGAAGGCAGCACCAUCGGAAGGCAGCAUCAUCGUCGGCAGCACCAUCGGAAGGCAGCACCAUCGGACGGCAGCACCAUCGGAAGGCAGCACCAUCGGACGGCAGCACCAUCGGAAGGCAGCACCAUCUGACGGCAGCACCAUCGGACGGCAGCACCAUCUGACGGCAGAACCAUCUGACGGCAUCACCAUCUGACGGCAGCACCAUCGGAAGGGCAGCACCAUCGGACGGCAGCA
ensembl:lncRNA